rnacentral:rRNA from 1 species
UUAAAUUGAAGAGUUUGAUCAUGGCUCAGAUUGAACGCUGGCGGCAGGCCUAACACAUGCAAGUCGAACGGUAGCACAGAGGAGCUUG